UCCAACUGAUAAGAGAAUUUCAGAGGAUCCUGGUAUUACUUCAUCUUGUGAAAAAGUGAAUUCCUUAACUAGUACCCUGCUCUGUGUUCAUGAUGGCAGCAGUUUCAGUGAAGCAGAUCAUCACGAAGGAAGGCUGAAGAAGAGCGAAAUGGCACUCAAAAUCAAAAUGUCAGAGCUUUGCAAGAUAGACAUCUGAAUAACCACCUAUGGAUGCAGAAGGAAAUAGUAGAAGCAACUACUUCUAAAGUGAAUCAGAGUUCUGAGCUUCCUGAUUGUCAUGAAAAAGAUCUGCUGCUAAAAAAACAUACCCUUCAGCAUGAAAUUGCCAUGCUCAAACUGGAACUAGACACAGUAAAAAAUCAGA